rnacentral:rRNA from 1 species
UAGGGAAUCUUCCGCAUUGGGCGAAAGCCUGACGGAGCAACGCCGCGUGAGUGAUGAAGGUCUUCGGAUCGUAAAACUCUGUUAUUAGGGAAGAACAAAUGUGUAAGUAACUAUGCACGUCUUGACGGUACCUAAUCAGAAAGCCACGGCUAACUACGUGCCAGCAGCCGCGGUAAUACGUAGGUGGCAAGCGUUAUCCGGAAUUAUUGGGCGUAAAGCGCGCGUAGGCGGUUUUUUAAGUCUGAUGUGAAAGCCCACGGCUCAACCGUGGAGGGUCAUUGGAAACUGGAAAACUUGAGUGCAGAAGAGGAAAGUGGAAUUCCAUGUGUAGCGGUGAAAUGCGCAGAGAUAUGGAGGAACACCAGUGGCGAAGGCGACUUUCUGGUCUGUAACUGACGCUGAUGUGCGAAAGCGUGGGGAUCAAACAGG